rnacentral:rRNA from 1 species
UACGGAGGGUGCAAGCGUUAUCCGGAUUCACUGGGUUUAGAGGGUGCGUAGGUGGGCAAGUAAGUCAGUGGUGAAAUCUCCGGGCUUAACCCGGAAACUGCCAUUGAUACUAUUUGUCUUGAAUACUGUGGAGGUCAGCGGAAUAUGUCAUGUAGCGGUGAAAUGCUUAGAUAUGACAUAGAACACCAAUUGCGAAGGCAGCUGGCUACACAAAUAUUGACACUGAGGCACGAAAGCGUGGGGAUCAAACAGG